rnacentral:rRNA from 1 species
CAGUCGCCACGGGAAUACGGAGGGGGCUAGCGUUGUUCGGAAUUACUGGGCGUAAAGCGCACGUAGGCGGCUUGGUAAGUUAGAGGUGAAAGCCCAGGGCUCAACCCUGGAAUUGCCUUUAAGACUGCCGAGCUAGUAGGUGAGAGAGGUGAGUGGAAUUCCGAGUGUAGAGGUGAAAUUCGUAGAUGUUCGGAAGAACACCAGUGGCGAAGGCGGCUCACUGGCUCAUUCUAGACGCUGAGGUGCGAAAGCGUGGGGAGCAAACAGGAUUAGAUACCCCCGUAGUCCCUGUCUCUUAUAC